AGGAUAAACGCUGGCGGCGUGCCUAACACAUGCAAGUCGCACGAGAAAGGGUAGCAAUACCUGAGUAAAGUGGCGCACGGGUGAGUAACACGUGACUAAUCUACCCUCGAGUGGGGAAUAACUGAGAGAAAUCUUAGCUAAUACCGCAUAACACUUACGAGUCAAAGCAGCAAUGCGCUUGGGGAGGAGGUCGCGGCCGAUUAGCUAGUUGGCGGGGUAAUGGCCCACCAAGGCGAUGAUCGGUAUCCGGCCUGAGAGGGCGCACGGACACACUGGAACUGAAACACGGUCCAGACUCCUACGGGAGGCAGCAGUGGGGAAUUUUGCGCAAUGGGGGAAACCCUGACGCAGCAACGCCGCGUGGAGGAUGAAAUAUCUUGGUAUGUAAACUCCUUUCGAUGGGGAAGAUUAUGACGGUACCCAUAGAAGAAGCCCGGCUAACUUCGCGCCAGCAGCCGC
rnacentral:rRNA from 1 species